UCAACUUAGGAGAGGGAUUACACAACCGACUUUUUCACUACAAGAAGCCUCGAAAAACCAGUAUCUUUCUAUUCCAUUACAACUCAAAAUUAACAUUUAUUCAACGCAUCAAGACCUUGGAGAACUAAUCGGCACCCGACGAAGUAGCCUAGCCAGAUCUCAUCAAUCUACAAGCAACGCAAUCAUCAGCGUACAUCAAUACAAUGAACAAUAAAGGAACAACAAUUAAUAAAGAUACGUUGCAUAAUCUGGUUUAAAUAAGAUUGUGGCUGCAUAACCAGAUAGGUAAAAGGAUAAUCUUACAAAGAAAAGAAAUUGUGGGAAUAAAGAAUUGGUAAGAUCAAAUUAUUAAAAAAACAAAAAGCUAUAAUUUAAAGUGGGGAAUACUCAACGAGAUCUAUUCAUAAACCAGUAUCUCGAUAUGGUUAAUUAUCUCUUGGAUUUUGCUUUUAAAGGAACUAUCGAAUAGACAGAAUCUAAGAGUGUGGUCAGACAAAAGUGUAGGACGUGUUCCUGAAACAAGU